CCCAUUGAUUGAUGGUGCUUGCACCUGAUUGAUUUUGGUCGCCAACGAGUGGCGGACGGGUGAGUAACACGUAGGUAACCUGCCCAGAAGCGGGGGACAACAUUUGGAAGCAGAUGCUAAUACCGCAUAGCAACGUUGUUCGCAUGAACAACGCUUAAAAGAUGGCUUCUCGCUAUCACUUCUGGAUGGACCUGCGGUGCAUUAGCUUGUUGGUGGGGUAACGGCCUACCAAGGCGAUGAUGCAUAGCCGAGUUGAGAGACUGAUCGGCCACAAUGGGACUGAGACACGGCCCAUACUCCUACGGGAGGCAGCAGUAGGGAAUCUUCCACAAUGGGCGCAAGCCUGAUGGGGCAACACCGCGUGAGUGAAGAAGGGUUUCGGCUCGUAAAGCUCUGUUGUUAAAGAAGAACACGUAUGAGAGUAACUGUUCAUACGUUGACGGUAUUUAACCAGAAAGUCACGGCUAACUACGUGCCAGCAGCCGCGGUAAUACGUAGGUGGCAAGCGUUAUCCGGAUUUAUUGGGCGUAAAGAGAGUGCAGGCGGUUUUCUAAGUCUGAUGUGAAAGCCUUCGGCUUAACCGGAGAAGUGCAUCGGAAACUGGAUAACUUGAGUGCAGAAGAGGGUAGUGGAGCUCCAUGUGUAGCGGUGGAAUGCGUAGAUAUAUGGAAGAACACCAGUGGCGAAGGCGGCUACCUGGUCUGCAACUGACGCUGAGACUCGAAAGCAUGGGUAGCGAACAGGAUUAGAUACCCUGGUAGUCCAUGCCGU
rnacentral:rRNA from 1 species